CGACUAAGGUUCGAUUCGAGCGCAGCGAGAAAGCGUUGCCGUAGGCAACGACCCGAAGGGCGAAGCGCGCAGCGCUGAGUAAUCCUUCCCCCGUCAUCC
rnacentral:sRNA from 1 species